rnacentral:rRNA from 1 species
GUGAGGAAUAUUGGUCAAUGGACGAGAGUCUGAACCAGCCAAGUAGCGUGAAGGAUGACUGCCCUAUGGGUUGUAAACUUCUUUUAUACGGGAAUAAAGUGAGGCACGUGUGCCUUUUUGUAUGUACCGUAUGAAUAAGGAUCGGCUAACUCCGUGCCAGCAGCCGCGGUAAUACGGAGGAUCCGAGCGUUAUCCGGAUUUAUUGGGUUUAAAGGGAGCGUAGGCGGACGCUUAAGUCAGUUGUGAAAGUUUGCGGCUCAACCGUAAAAUUGCAGUUGAUACUGGGUGUCUUGAGUACAGUAGAGGCAGGCGGAAUUCGUGGUGUAGCGGUGAAAUGCUUAGAUAUCACGAAGAACUCCGAUUGCGAAGGCAGCCUGCUGGACUGUAACUGACGCUGAUGCUCGAAAGUGUGGGUAUCAAACAGGAUUAGAUACCCUGGUAGUCC